rnacentral:tRNA from 1 species
GCGCCUGUGGCCUAACGGAUAAGGCACUAGCCUCCGAAGCUAGUCAUGGCGGUUCGAUUCCGCCCAGGCGCGCCA